UUGAAGCGUUGAAAAAUCACAAGGCAAAGCGAAAUUACUCGCUUAAAAUCGAAGGAACAAUGAUGUUCCUUUCUCUUUAACACCGAAGAAACACUGAUGUCGAUUGAGGAAGGUACAACAGGAGCGGCAUCACCAAUAUCAGACGAUUGCGUCCAAACCUACACCGCUUCUGACUGUACGCUUUCUCACCUAAACUUCGAUCCAAAGACACUCCCUUCAGAUCUCUCGCCCCCUACUUCACAUUUUAUUCUCCUUUGCUUCCUUCACACUCUCUGUUUGUCAACCGUUCUCAGGUAAAGUUGGCGUUUCUAGUUUUGAUCUGAGCUACUAUAGCAGAUUGACUAUCUAGAAGCUUAGGAGAAGCUGCUUCUGUUGGUUUAGGAAACCAGUACAUAUCUGCCUGUCUUGUGUGAGCGUGAAGACGACUAUAUCUACUAAUUGUUUGUUUAUUCUGUUGUGAUUGGACAACUUUGAUUAUGAAGAAAGGUCCCCUGCCUGAACUGUGGUUCAGGUGCUAGCUGUUUUAUGCACCUAAGUGAACUUGUAUUGUUUAAUCUGGUACCAAGUGGUGAAUCAAUUGGUCAUCAGUUGGCUUGAUUCGUCUAGAGCACAUAAAUGGCUCACUAUACAGAUCGAAAUGGUGCAAGGGAGCUUGGAUUCAAAAAAGUUUGACCUGAGGGAU